rnacentral:rRNA from 1 species
AUAAGGAGCUUGCUCCUUUGACGUUAGCGGCGGACGGGUGAGUAACACGUGGGUAACCUACCUAUAAGACUGGAAUAACUCCGGGAAACCGGGGCUAAUGCCGGAUAACAUUUAGAACCGCAUGGUUCUAAAGUGAAAGAUGGUUUUGCUAUCACUUAUAGAUGGACCCGCGCCGUAUUAGCUAGUUGGUAAGGUAACGGCUUACCAAGGCAACGAUACGUAGCCGACCUGAGAGGGUGAUCGGCCACACUGGAACUGAGACACGGUCCAGACUCCUACGGGAGGCAGCAGUAGGGAAUCUUCCGCAAUGGGCGAAAGCCUGACGGAGCAACGCCGCGUGAGUGAUGAAGGUCUUCGGAUCGUAAAACUCUGUUAUUAGGGAAGAACAAAUGUGUAAGUAACUGUGCACGUCUUGACGGUACCUAAUCAGAAAGCCACGGCUAACUACGUGCCAGCAGCCGCGGUAAUACGUAGGUGGCAAGCGUUAUCCGGAAUUAUUGGGCGUAAAGCGCGCGUAGGCGGUUUCUUAAGUCUGAUGUGAAAGCCCACGGCUCAACCGUGGAGGGUCAUUGGAAACUGGGAAACUUGAGUGCAGAAGAGGAAAGUGGAAUUCCAUGUGUAGCGGUGAAAUGCGCAGAGAUAUGGAGGAACACCAGUGGCGAAGGCGACUUUCUGGUCUGUAACUGACGCUGAUGUGCGAAAGCGUGGGGAUCAAACAGGAUUAGAUACCCUGGUAGUCCACGCCGUAAACGAUGAGUGCU